rnacentral:sRNA from 1 species
AGCUGUUCCCCUCUGGAGGUUUUAUUACCUUCAAAACUAUAAAGGGCCCAAGUUGAUCUUGUGGCCCUCUUUUUUUGCCUUC